AUGUGGCACAUGGGGACGUGGUCAGCGGGCACGUCCCAUGGGAUGAGGUUGGGCUUGGGGAUCUUGGAGGUCUUCUCCAACCUCAGUGAUUCUACGAUUCUCUGUUUCUGUGAUGCUAUGCCCAUGUCACAGGCACCCCAUGCGACAGCCCCGUGGGUGCUUGCCUGGUGCGUGCGGACAGACAGAGCUGCUGGCCUCGGAACAGCUGCGUCCCCGAGUCACUUAUGGAACCAAGCCAAGAGGAAUGAAAUAAGAAGUGAGAAUCCCUGCUCUUCGCUAACAGUAAUUUAUGGUUCAUCUCAGCCUGCCUCAUGGAACCUGGCCUUGUCUCUGUGGUCACCGAUCUCUAAUGGGAUCUCUCCUCCAAAAUCCCAAAUCAGCUUCCAGAAUGCACCUGAGAAGUUUUUGAGCUGCUAAAGCCUUGCACAUAUCUGUAUGUGCCAAGUACCCUUGACACAGUAAAAAAUCACCUAAGAGACAUGACAUUAGAAGAGCACCCGUGCAGUUCAGGAUUCAUCUCAUCAUCAGGCCACUUAACUGCUCGCCUCACUCCUUAAGCAGCUCUUCUCCAUUGUGAAACACAGCCAAAAGCUCAGCAAAGAGACAGGAGAGGCUUAAGUAGAGAGAAAUAGCAAAUGUCCUCACCUCUGGUCCUGAAGAUGGAUGAAUGAGGGGUUGGCUGGAGUUGCCCACUCUUUUGCUAAAGCAUUGUAUGAAAUCCCUGCAAAAUAGGACAGCCACAUCCAAUUACAGAAGAUAUCAUGAGAGUCAGCUCUUACCACUGGUUUGCUGUCUCUUGUUUUGUUGUCACAUUAUUUCACAUCCAUCACUGUAAGUCCUCCUUUGAUUUUAAACACCAAAGUAGAAUCAUAGAAUGAUUUGGGUUGGAAGGGCCCUUAAACACCAUCCAUUUCGAACAAGGUCUUCAAACAGUGUUUUCAAAUGUUAAAAUGUGGCUUGAGAAAUAACUAUACCUAGAAUAGAGAGAAUUAACAUUCAUUGUAGAGGGGAAAAAUAAAGACAGAUAAAGGAGACUUAAAGCA
rnacentral:lncRNA from 1 species